UCUGCAGCAGCCAACACUGAUUGUUCAAGUGGGGUAACUCCAGCAAUCUGAGAGUGCAGCCCCCUUUUUCUUUUUCUUUUUUUUUUUAAUUGAAGAUGGCCAAAAGAACCCAAAUUACAGGGAUCUUCCUCACCUGAGAGGCACAGAGUUUGGAAUGAGAAUUCAAGUACCAGCAAGAAGCAUCCAGAAGAGUCUGUGGAAGCAGCUACCUGGAGCAGCCCUCUCAUUGUUUUCCACCUGCAGCCUCAUGAGACUUGUCUCCAAAUAGCUGCACUGGGCCUUUCUCCUGGCACUGAGUUGUUGUUAAACAUUUUCCCAUCUGGUUUUGGCUCCACAAUGGAUUUCUACUGAACCCUGAAAGCAGUGAAUUCUUUUGACUGAAAAUGACCUGACUGAAGCAGAAUGCAAUUUGAAGAGUCUUCCACAUGUUAGUGCUAUAUCCUGGAAGCCUCCCUUAAGGAUUAGUGGUUCCUCAAAUGCAUCAAUGGCCAGGGCUGGCAGUGCUCUCACAGGCAG